UUUAUGGAGAGUUUGAUCCUGGCUCAGGAUGAACGCUGGCGGCGUGCCUAAUACAUGCAAGUCGAGCGAACGGACGAGAAGCUUGCUUCUCUGAUGUUAGCGGCGGACGGGUGAGUAACACGUGGAUAACCUACCUAUAAGACUGGGAUAACUUCGGGAAACCGGAGCUAAUACCGGAUAAUAUUUUGAACCGCAUGGUUCAAAAGUGAAAGACGGUCUUGCUGUCACUUAUAGAUGGAUCCGCGCUGCAUUAGCUAGUUGGUAAGGUAACGGCUUACCAAGGCAACGAUGCAUAGCCGACCUGAGAGGGUGAUCGGCCACACUGGAACUGAGACACGGUCCAGACUCCUACGGGAGGCAGCAGUAGGGAAUCUUCCGCAAUGGGCGAAAGCCUGACGGAGCAACGCCGCGUGAGUGAUGAAGGUCUUCGGAUCGUAAAACUCUGUUAUUAGGGAAGAACAUAUGUGUAAGUAACUGUGCACAUCUUGACGGUACCUAAUCAGAAAGCCACGGCUAACUACGUGCCAGCAGCCGCGGUAAUACGUAGGUGGCAAGCGUUAUCCGGAAUUAUUGGGCGUAAAGCGCGCGUAGGCGGUUUUUUAAGUCUGAUGUGAAAGCCCACGGCUCAACCGUGGAGGGUCAUUGGAAACUGGAAAACUUGAGUGCAGAAGAGGAAAGUGGAAUUCCAUGUGUAGCGGUGAAAUGCGCAGAGAUAUGGAGGAACACCAGUGGCGAAGGCGACUUUCUGGUCUGCAACUGACGCUGAUGUGCGAAAGCGUGGGGAUCAAACAGGAUUAGAUACCCUGGUAGUCCACGCCGUAAACGAUGAGUGCUAAGUGUUAGGGGGUUUCCGCCCCUUAGUGCUGCAGCUAACGCAUUAAGCACUCCGCCUGGGGAGUACGACCGCAAGGUUGAAACUCAAAGGAAUUGACGGGGACCCGCACAAGCGGUGGAGCAUGUGGUUUAAUUCGAAGCAACGCGAAGAACCUUACCAAAUCUUGACAUCCUUUGACAACUCUAGAGAUAGAGCUUUCCCCUUCGGGGGACAAAGUGACAGGUGGUGCAUGGUUGUCGUCAGCUCGUGUCGUGAGAUGUUGGGUUAAGUCCCGCAACGAGCGCAACCCUUAAGCUUAGUUGCCAUCAUUAAGUUGGGCACUCUAAGUUGACUGCCGGUGACAAACCGGAGGAAGGUGGGGAUGACGUCAAAUCAUCAUGCCCCUUAUGAUUUGGGCUACACACGUGCUACAAUGGACAAUACAAAGGGCAGCGAAACCGCGAGGUCAAGCAAAUCCCAUAAAGUUGUUCUCAGUUCGGAUUGUAGUCUGCAACUCGACUACAUGAAGCUGGAAUCGCUAGUAAUCGUAGAUCAGCAUGCUACGGUGAAUACGUUCCCGGGUCUUGUACACACCGCCCGUCACACCACGAGAGUUUGUAACACCCGAAGCCGGUGGAGUAACCUUUUAGGAGCUAGCCGUCGAAGGUGGGACAAAUGAUUGGGGUGAAGUCGUAACAAGGUAGCCGUAUCGGAAGGUGCGGCUGGAUCACCUCCUUU
rnacentral:rRNA from 1 species